CUACGGGACGCACCAGUGGGGAAUAUUGCACAAUGGAGGAAACUCUGAUGCAGCAACGCCGCGUGGAGGAUGACACUUUUCGGAGCGUAAACUCCUUUUAUAUAGGAAGAUAAUGACGGUACUAUAUGAAUAAGCACCGGCUAACUCCGUGCCAGCAGCCGCGGUAAUACGGAGGGUGCAAGCGUUACUCGGAAUCACUGGGCGUAAAGAGCGUGUAGGCGGAUAGAUAAGUCAGGAGUGAAAUCCUAUGGCUCAACCAUAGGACUGCUCUUGAAACUGUCUAUCUAGAAUAUGGGAGAGGUAGAUGGAAUUUCUGGUGUAGGGGUAAUAUCCGUAGAGAUCAGAAGGAAUACCGAUUGCGAAGGCGAUCUACUGGAACAUUAUUGACGCUGAGACGCGAAAGCGUGGGGAGCAAACAGGAUUAGAUACCCGCGUAGUC
rnacentral:rRNA from 1 species